AGUACCGCGUAUACAAUCUGCCUCAUACUAGGGGAUAGCCCGAAGAAAAUUUGGAUUAAUACCCUAUAGUAUCUUUUUAAGGCAUCUUAAAAAGAUUAAAGGUUACGGUAUGAGAUGAGUAUGCGUUCUAUUAGCUAGUAGGUGUGGUAACGGCACACCUAGGCUACGAUAGAUAGGGGCCCUGAGAGGGGGAUCCCCCACACUGGUACUGAGACACGGACCAGACUCCUACGGGAGGCAGCAGUGAGGAAUAUUGGACAAUGGGCGAAAGCCUGAUCCAGCCAUGCCGCGUGCAGGAUGACUGCCCUAUGGGUUGUAAACUGCUUUUAUAUAGGAAGAAAAACUUUCUCGUGAGAAAGCUUGACGGUACUAUAAGAAUAAGGAUCGGCUAACUCCGUGCCAGCAGCCGCGGUAAUACGGAGGAUCCAAGCGUUAUCCGGAAUCAUUGGGUUUAAAGGGUCCGUAGGUGGACAAAUAAGUCAGAGGUGAAAUCCUGCAGCUCAACUGUAGAACUGCCUUUGAAACUGUUUGUCUUGAGUUAUUAUGAAGUGGUUAGAAUGUGUAGUGUAGCGGUGAAACGCAUAGAUUUUACACAGAAUACCGAUUGCGAAGGCAGAUCACUAAUAAUUAACUGACACUGAGGGACGAAAGCGUGGGUAGCGAACAGGAUUAGAUACCCUGGUAGUCCACGCCGUAAACGAUGGUCACUAGCUGUUUGGACUUCGGUCUGAGUGGCUAAGCGAAAGUGAUAAGUGACCCACCUGGGGAGUACGUUCGCAAGAAUGAAACUCAAAGGAAUUGACGGGGGCCCGCACAAGCGGUGGAGCAUGUGGUUUAAUUCGAUGAUACGCGAG
rnacentral:rRNA from 1 species